GGAAAAGGCAAGCUUCAACAGCGGGACCAAAGGGACUUUAAUUCAGCUGAGCUGGCUUUAUAUGGCUGAGACCACACAGAACCCAUAGAGAAUCGGAGAGAUGAAACAGUGCCCUUUUUAUGUCAACUGAAAGAAAACAGCAGAGGUGAUGGGCCACAAACUUUUACUUAAUUAAGAGACCAUAUAGUUGGAGCUACUGAACAGGUUGCUUUCAAAAUGCACACUGCAGUAGCACCACCAUCUCUUUAUUUGGCGCAAAUCAGCAAAGUUCCAUUGCCUCCAGGGCAGCUACAUGCAUUCAAAGCAGUGGAGAAUCUGUCCUGUACGACCAGCUGAAACUCACUUGGACCCACACUUUGCUGCCUUAGAGUCACAUGAAUCCUGGAAAAGUUAUGAGCUGGUUCAGAUAGAGUCACCAGAUUACACUUCAGUUGUGGAUACAAAAGAACACGAGGGACUUCAAGCUCAGGCUGCAGUAUGGAAGAAAGCUCUUAAAAAGGAUCAGCUUCCUGAGCUUCUUGGAUCCUCGUCUGAAAUGAAACAGAUAUUGGUAUCCCCACUGCAAUAAGGUUCACAUAAACAGUGACAUCUCACUCUUGGCGGAGUUCUUCCAGAGGCAGUGGUGUCUGUAAUAGUGCCCUAGGAAGAGUAUCAGCUGUCUUUAACUCUUUUCCAGGAAUGUAUAUAAUAUUGUAAAUGAAUGUCAGCAUUUUGAGGUGAUCAAUUCCUCCCACCAAAAAAACUGCAUUUUGAUUUUUCCUCUUCUUUUGGAGCGGGGACAAAAAUGCAAAAGUGAAGUCUCAUGGAAUAGGAAAGCCAUUACUCAGCCAGU